CCUACGGGUGGCAGCAGUCGAGAAUCAUUCACAAUGGGGGAAACCCUGAUGGUGCGACGCCGCGUGGGGGAAUGAAGGUCUUCGGAUUGUAAACCCCUGUCAUGUGGGAGCAAAUUAAAAAGAUAGUACCACACGAGGAAGAGACGGCUAACUCUGUGCCAGCAGCCGCGGUAAUACAGCGGUCUCAAGCGUUGUUCGGAAUCACUGGGCUUAAAGCGUGCGUAGGCUGUUUCGUAAGUCGUGUGUGAAAGGCGCGGGCUCAACCCGCGGAUGGCACAUGAUACUGCGAGACUAGAGUAAUGGAGGGGGAACCGGAAUUCUCGGUGUAGCAGUGAAAUGCGUAGAUAUCGUGAGGAACACUCGUGGCGAAGGCGGGUUCCUGGACAUUAACUGACGCUGAGGCACGAAGGCCAGGGGAGCGAAAGGGAUUAGAUACCCUUGUAGUC
rnacentral:rRNA from 1 species